rnacentral:lncRNA from 1 species
GGGACAUCCGGGCAGGGGCAGCUGCAGGGCUGGAGCCCCCACUCCAAAGUCAUGGCUAGAGUUGAGCAUGAGUCGGGGAGAACUGACUCUCCUUCCCGCCACGCCUCCCAGCCUGGGCGGAUGGAGCUCGGCCAACUGUACCACAGUGGAUCUGUGCCCCGACUUUGGAUGCUAGGCAGGCUGUGCCUUCAUCACCCGCCAGGAAAGGAGGCUGGCAUUGACUGGGCGCUGCUGUGUGCAUGGAGCUGUGCAUCCGAGGUCCCUUUGCUACCGCUCCUGGCCCUGGAGGAGGGGAGGGCCUCGUCCGCACCUCCCAGGGAAGGAAGCAACUCCAGGAAAUGUCAGGCCGGAGUUUCAACUGAAACCACGCCGAGGAAGAUGCCAGGGAGGGCACAACCCCAGUGCUUCACAGGUGGUUGUUGAGCUGUCACAGGACCCUGUGGUCACCAUGCGUGGGGCCAUGUGACAGAAAAGAGAGGCAGGGACCAGGAACUGGAGCUCCUAGGCUCGUGAUCCGGAGUCCAGCGCUUACCAGUGAAGACACAAGUACGAGCCACCAGUGACCUUUCCAGACUCACUUUCUCACCUGUCAAAUGGGCAGGUCACCCUGAUCUCCCAGGGCCCUUCCCUCUCUUUGGCCUUCUCCUGUUCACCCCUCUGGCAUAUCAGUUACUUUUGCUGCAUCCUCAGCCACCCUGCAGUUAACGGGUGCAGAGCAGCAGCAAUCACUUAGGGUGAUUUUUGUUUGUUCUUUUAGAGAUGGUCUCACUAUGUAGGUCAUAGAUGGCCUCGAACUUUCCUCCUACUUCCUGCCUCAGCCUCCCAAGUGCUGGGAUUACAGGUGUAUGCCAUCAUACCUGGCUUAUCGUGAUUAUUACCACUAUGGGCUCAGUUCUCUGGUUCUCACUGGGUUUCUCCCAUUCUCAGGGCCAUCCGGUGCAAGGAAAGGAGACAGAGACCUUACUCUUGAUGGAAGCCAGGUGACUAAAUUGCAUGGAGCCAUUAGGGUGAGUCCCAAUUCAACGUGACUGGUGUCUUUCUGAGAAGAGGAGACCACGUGAAGACAGGGGAGCGGACACCAUCUACAAGCCCAGGAGAG